GACGAACGCUGGCGGCGUGCUUAACACAUGCAAGUCGAACGGAAAGGCCCCUUUUGGGGUACUCGAGUGGCGAACGGGUGAGUAACACGUGAGUAACCUGCCCUUGCCUUCGGGAUAACUUCAGGAAACUGGGGCUAAUACCGGAUAGGAAUCCUUGCUGCAUGGUGGGGGUUGGAAAGCUUUGGCGGUUUUGGAUGGACUCGCGGCUUAUCAGCUUGUUGGUGGGGUAGUGGCUUACCAAGGCUUUGACGGGUAGCCGGCCUGGGGGGGCGACCGGCCACAUUGGGACUGAGAUACGGCCCAGACUCCUACGGGAGGCAGAAGGGGGGAAUAUUGCACAAGGGGCGGAGGCCUGAUGCAGCAACGCCGCGUGCGGGAGGACGGCCUUCGGGUUGUAAACCGCUUUCAGCAGGGGCGAAGCUUGUGGUGACGGUACCUGCAGAAGAAGCACCGGCUAACUACGUG
rnacentral:rRNA from 1 species